rnacentral:tRNA from 1 species
UCCCUGGUGGCUCAGAUGGUAAAGAAUCUGCCUGCAAUGCAGGAUACCCAGGUUCAAUCCCUGGGGGAA